GAUGAACGCUGGCGGCGUGCCUAAUACAUGCAAGUCGAGCGAACAGACGAGGAGCUUGCUCCUCUGACGUUAGCGGCGGACGGGUGAGUAACACGUGGAUAACCUACCUAUAAGACUGGGAUAACUUCGGGAAACCGGAGCUAAUACCGGAUAAUAUAUUGAACCGCAUGGUUCAAUAGUGAAAGACGGUUUUGCUGUCACUUAUAGAUGGAUCCGCGCCGCAUUAGCUAGUUGGUAAGGUAACGGCUUACCAAGGCAACGAUGCGUAGCCGACCUGAGAGGGUGAUCGGCCACACUGGAACUGAGACACGGUCCAGACUCCUACGGGAGGCAGCAGUAGGGAAUCUUCCGCAAUGGGCGAAAGCCUUACGGAGCAACGGCGCGUGAGUGAUGAAGGUCUUCGGAUCGUAAAACUCUGUUAUUAGGGAAGAACAAAUUUGGAAGUAACUAUGCACGUCUUGACGGUACCUAAUCAGAAAGCCACGGCUAACUACGUG
rnacentral:rRNA from 1 species